UACGUAGGGGGCAAGCGUUGUCCGGAUUUAUUGGGCGUAAAGAGCGUGUAGGCGGCCAUACAGGUCCGUUGUGAAAACUGGAGGCUUAACCUCCAGACGUCGAUGGAAACCGUAUGGCUAGAGUCCGGAAGAGGAGAGUGGAAUUCCUGGUGUAGCGGUGAAAUGCGUAGAUAUCUGGAGGAAUACCGGUGGCGAAGGCGGCAUCCUGGACCGGCAUUGACGCUGAGGAGCGAAAGCUAGGGGAGCAAACGGG
rnacentral:rRNA from 1 species